rnacentral:rRNA from 1 species
AGAGUUUGAUCAUGGCUCAGAACGAACGCUGGCGGCAGGCUUAACACAUGCAAGUCGAACGCUCGUAGCAAUACGGGAGUGGCAGACGGGUGAGUAACGCGUGGGAACAUACCCUCCGGUUCGGAAUAGCUCAGGGAAACUUGGAUUAAUACCGGAUACGGCCGAGAGGCGAAAGAUUUAUCGCCGGAGGAUUGGCCCGCGUUCGAUUAGCUUGUUGGUGAGGUAAUGGCUCACCAAGGCGAUGAUCGAUAGCUGGUCUGAGAGGAUGAUCAGCCACAUUGGGACUGAGACACGGCCCAAACUCCUACGGGAGGCAGCAGUGGGGAAUAUUGGACAAUGGGCGCAAGCCUGAUCCAGCCAUGCCGCGUGAGUGAUGACGGCCUUAGGGUUGUAAAGCUCUUUCGCUCGGGACGAUAAUGACGGUACCGAGAUAAGAAGCCCCGGCUAACUUCGUGCCAGCAGCCGCGGUAAUACGAAGGGGGCUAGCGUUGUUCGGAAUUACUGGGCGUAAAGCGCGUGUAGGCGGGUCUUUAAGUCAGGGGUGAAAUGCCAAGGCUCAACCUUGGAACUGCCUUUGAUACUGAAGACCUUGAGUCCGGGAGAGGUGAGUGGAAUUGCGAGUGUAGAGGUGAAAUUCGUAGAUAUUCGCAAGAACACCAGUGGCGAAGGCGGCUCACUGGCCCGGAACUGACGCUGAGACGCGAAAGCGUGGGGAGCAAACAGGAUUAGAUACCCCGGUAGUCC